UACGAAGGGGGGCUAGCGUUGCUCGGAAUCACUGGGCGUAAAGCGCACGUAGGCGGACUCUUAAGUCGGUGGUGAAAUCCCGGGGCUCAACCUCGGAACUGCCUUUGAUACUGCAAAUCUCGAGUCCGAUAGAGGUGGGUGGAAUUCCUAGUGUAGAGGUGAAAUUCGUAGAUAUUAGGAAGAACACCGGUGGCGAAGGCGGCCCACUGGAUCGGUACUGACGCUGAGGUGCGAAAGCGUGGGGGAGCAAACAGG
rnacentral:rRNA from 1 species